rnacentral:tRNA from 25 species
GCGGGCGUAGUUCAGAGGCAGAACACGAGCUUCCCAAGCUUGCAACGCGGGUUCGAUUCCCGUCGCCCGCUCCA